rnacentral:rRNA from 1 species
CCCUUAGAUGUUCUGGGCUGCACGCGCGCUACACUGAAGCUAUCAACACGUUUUCCCUCCCUGAGAAGGGCGGGUAACCUUUUGAAUCAGCUUCGUGGUAGGGAUCGGGGCUUGCAAUUGUUCCCCGUGAACCAGGAAUUCCUAGUAGACGCGAGUCAUAAGCUCGCAUCGAUUAAGUCCCUGCCCUUUGUACACACCGCCCGUCGCUACUACCGAUUGAACGUUUUAGUGAGGCAUUUGGACCGACGCAUCUCAGUUUAACCGCUGGGUUGUGUUGGAAAGACUUCCAAACUUGAGCGUUUAGAGGAAGUAAAAGUCGUAACA